AAACCGACGUAUCAGACAGGCAUCCUGACCAUCCAAAGUCCACUGACUUGUGCACUAUGAUAUUUCUGUUUCUAACCCAAUGCUAUCACUUUUUGAUGAUUUUUGAUUAUGUUGUGAGUAUGUGUUAUAAGUUUUAGCAUAUUGUUUUAUAAUGAAUUCUAAUUUUAUUAAAAUGAUUAAAAUGUUUUGUAAAAAUGUUAUAAAGGGCUUUGUUUUUAUGAAGUAUAUAUAUUGUUGAACAUGUUGAUUUAUUUAAGUAUUAAAAAAGGCUUGGAGUUAUUUUUUUGAAAUACAAAAACACAAAAUUGUAUGAGAUCUUCAAUCAUAAUGUAUGAAGAAUCACAUACAAUGUGUUUUAGUUUUGAAUUUAAAUAUUUUUUUUCUCAACAUUGUUUUGUAUCAUUUAAAACCCUCAAUGCUGUUAGAUACUCUAAUUUGAGUUUUGAAGAAAGACCGUCACAUUUUGGUGAAUAAGCGCUUGCCAUUUGUUGAUAGAUGUGAGGUUACAACAAUUGUUAAAGAUUUGAUUGUACAAUAAAUUCUUUGAAUCUCC
rnacentral:misc_RNA from 1 species